CCACGAGCUACACGCGUCUCAAGCAUACCCUCACCGCCGACAGCCCCCAGCCUCGUCCACGGCCUGCUCGUCCACCCGCCUACGAUCCUGAGUUCGAGGCGGCCUUCGAAGCCUGCAAUGAAGCGUAUCAGCAGGCCGCUGCCCAGUGGAAUAGGCAGAAUACGGCCUACAUGGCGUAUAUAGGAGAAAUGAUGAUUUCUAUGUCUACUGGUACACCGCCACCGGCUCGAGUUACCGUGG